rnacentral:rRNA from 1 species
UACGUAGGUGGCAAGCGUUGUCCGGAUUUACUGGGCGUAAAGAGCGCGCAGGCGGUCGUUCAAGUCGCGUGUGAAAGCCCCCGGCUCAACUGGGGAGGGUCACGCGAUACUGAUCGACUGGAAGGCAGGAGAGGGUAGUGGAAUUCCCGGUGUAGUGGUGAAAUGCGUAGAUAUCGGGAGGAACACCAGCGGCGAAGGCGACUACCUGGCCUGUUCUUGACGCUGAGGCGCGAAAGCUAGGGGAGCAAACGGG